UACGUAGGGUGCGAGCGUUGUCCGGAAUUAUUGGGCGUAAAGGGCUCGUAGGCGGUUUGUCGCGUCGGGAGUGAAAACCCAGGGCUUAACCCUGGGCUGGCUUCCGAUACGGGCAGACUAGAGGUAUGCAGGGGAGAACGGAAUUCCUGGUGUAGCGGUGAAAUGCGCAGAUAUCAGGAGGAGCACCGGUGGCGAAGGCGGUUCUCUGGGCAUUACCUGACGCUGAGGAGCGAAAGUGUGGGGAGCGAACAGG
rnacentral:rRNA from 1 species